CGCCGCCUGGAAGGAUGGGAGCUCUGUUCUUGCAGCGGUGGGUUUAAGCGGAGCUAGAAGGGGUGGACCGAUGGUCUGCGUGGGAUGUGGAGGAGGGUUUCCUCGCCGUACCUGCGGCGGACGAAGAGAGGGGAUGAGAUGCGAGAGCCCGGAGCCGUGGUCGACUGAAGCGGUAGAAGCAACGGCAGCGGCAGAGAUAGGGGAACUAAAGAGGAUUUAAGUAGUUUGCAUCUCCAAUGCCGUCAGCAAGCUGUCGCCACAGAAGCAGGAGAAAGGAGCAGUCGACAGAACAACUCAAGCAGGUGCAGAUCGAGCUCACACCGACUGGUAUGUUAUACUUCCUUCUGUGGUUACUGUGAAGCAACAUAUCCUAGAAUCUGUAAUCGUGCCGAACCAUCCUGCGUAGAUCUGAACCAUAAUUUUGGCACUAAGGAAACCACGGAGCAAAAGCUAGAGGAACAAAACAACUAUAACACUCUGAAGCAUACUUUAACUAUGAAUGUAACUUCAGUUUGUCAUUCUGGUGAUUAAUGAAGCUCUCCUUUGGUAGCUUGAUUCAUAAUCAAAAACUCGGUUGUAGGUAGACAAAAUCAUGUAGACACAGUAGAUCAAUAUAAACUGGUUUUUUUUUCUGGAACAAUAAAAGGAGACAUAAAACGGGAAACAGAAAGAGAAGCUCCUGAUAUAUUUGUUGACUGCAAACAUAUGCAACAAAAACAGUACAAAGAACAGAACUGAAGAAGAUAGUAACACGUUCAAUAGGAAGGUACAAAAGAAAACAGAGUAGCAGCUACAUGGUUUUCCUAUCUAAACUAAGUUCAUUAUCUCUGUGAGGGAUCCAUCUCUGUAGAUAGUGUGAGCACUGAAAAUCCAUAACCAUCAAGUACUGGAUUGUCGAAUCUGAGUCCUUGAACAUGAACCUAGUUCUGCAAUUAAUAUCGAGUGAUUAAUUAGUACUCUAUGCAUAGUAAAUGGAAUUUUCCAAAAUAAGCAACAUGUAAAAUCUCACUGUACCUAUACUUAGACAGGAAGCGCUCCAUCUAAGAUAGCAUCCACAUAUAUGACACAUCGAGCAGUGGUCACUCACUUGCCAUCUGGAGAUACUUGGGCCAAAGCAGCUAGAUACCCGAACCAUGGGUGUAUAGCUUCAGUAGUAGCAGACCAUCCAGUACAUUUGUAUGUUAUAAAUGUGUUGCCAAGAUCCGAAGGACUGUCAUUUGUUACCGUCGUGUACGUUCUCACCAGACAAAAUGGAGCUAACACAUAUUCAAUUAUUGGCACUGAAUUUAAGUUGCAAGGUAGGCCAGUUAUUUUGAGCUGAACAAUUUGGGUUUCCACGCAACAAACUGAAGGCCAUUGUAUUAUUAGUUCAAUCUCUCCAUUGGUGAUCCAUUCAUGGAAUAGAACUUAUAUCAUUUUGUGCAAAGACAUAAAGGGGUAAUCUGGUCAAAGUAUAACAGGAAUGCACCAUCUUUUACGUUUUCUUCGACAAACUCACUCAUGUGCCAUAAGUAAGUAGCAGACUUAGGAUGCAAAAUUACAGCUGAAGAGUACUUUUGGAUAGCUUUAACAUCAACCAUUCUUGGCGAAAUGAAACAUUCAGCUAGGAACACUAUGUUUGUGUUGGUUAUCUAAUUAUGAUCUAUGCAAGCAUGUACAAAAGCCAAUGAAGUAACCAAUGGAUAAUUUAACUGGACAGUGGUCCUUUUACUAAUAGAGCAAGCAAUGCACAUGCUAAAACAAUCAAAAUUGUAGGGUUACAAAAAAUUUGUGCGGAUUCUUCUAUUCCAUUACAUUCUUAGUGUUCAUCUUGGAAUCAUUUACUUCUGAAAUCUCUUGGCAAAUCAGGAGCAACCUUGAAAAUCCACUCUACUCACUGGAUUCUGUACUUCUCCUAUCAAUAUGAAGAAGAGCUAGUUUUAUUCAAGUAAAUUCAAGAAGUUUCCUUACUAUGCAUGAAUAAAGCAGUGAUAAAGACAGUAAACUUCAACUAUGAAAGAAAACUCUUAGAAAAGGUAAGGCAUAUGUAAGACACGAAUCUUAAUGUAAUUUAGCAAUUUCUACUCGUUAACUUCUCAGUUGUGAGGAAUGGCACACCUGAACUUCCACUCUCAAAGCCACAGUCAGUAUCCAGCCAAGAAUCCAUGCCAUCCAUCACUUUAUCUUCUCAACUUGGUACUACUUGCUCAAUAGUUUGAAUCUCUUACUACCUUAUUAUUUUCUAACCUGAAUGAAAAGAUCUAAAAAAUAGUGCUGCUGAUUGAAAGUAGAAAAAAAGGAUAUGGUACCAUUAAUGAGUAAGAGUAUGGCAUAGAAAGUAGAUAAAUACCAUCUUUGAUCCAAGUUGAAACCAAGGAUGGCUCACGUUAUACAUGAACUAUUUACCAAGUAAAAAAAUGUGUAAACUGCAAAAAAAUCCGUCUUAGUUCCUUCUUUCAGAACUAACUGAAGAAAAGAACAUCUAAUGAACCUCAUAUCAUGUCUUUAAUUGUUCAGGAGUCGACAUGCAGUAAAAUAGAAAUACCCAGCCAUGAUUUUAUCUCAACUAAAAUACCGUGAAGGUUUACUCAAUCUGGCAUAAUAUUGUUCAAUGCAAAUUGCAACUAUUACAUUGAUCAUUUAUAAGGAAGAAUGAAUCGGACAUAUAUGGAAUGAGAACACGCUAAUAAUACUCACCUAGAUUUUGGAGACUAAGUUUAGGUGCUUUUUUUUGGAGGAAAAAUGUGGAGGAUCCUCUACCUUUUAGCUUCAUUCAGCAUCGCAGCAAUUGUUACAUUUGCAUCAUGGAGACAAAUAAAAA